rnacentral:rRNA from 1 species
CCGUCUUGAAACACGGACCAAGGAGUGUAGCAUGCGUGCGAGUGUUUGGGGUGGGAUCCCCGUGAGCAUAAUGAAAGUGAAGGUGGCCUCGGCCGCCUAGGCGCGGGCCCGUCUCUGGUGACGGGUGCAGCGUCGACCGAUCCCGGUCCACACCGUGGUGGGAUUUGAGUUGGAGCGUGCAUGUUGCGACCCGAAAGAUGGUGAACUAUGCCCGAGUAGGGUGAAGCCAGAGGAAACUCUGGUGGAGGCUCGCAGCGGUUCUGACGUGCAAAUCGAUCGUCGAACUUGGGUAUAGGGGCGAAAGACCAAUCGAACCAUCUAGUAGCUGGUUCCCUCCGAAGUUUCCCCCAGGAUAGCUGGAGUCCGUGUGCAGUUUUAUCAGGUAAAGCGAAUGAUUAGAGGUCUUGGGGUUGAAACAACCUCAACCUAUUCUCAAACUUUAAAUGGGUAAGAAGGUCGGCUUGCUCGGUUGAAGUCGUGCCAUUGAAUGCCGGGGCUCCUAGUGGGCCAUUUUUGGUAAGCAGAACUGGCGAUGCGGGAUGAACCGAACGCCGGGUUAAGGUGCCGGAGUCGACGCUCAUCAGAUCCCAGAAAAGGUGUUGGUUGAUCUAGACAGCAGGACGGUGGCCAUGGAAGUCGGAAUCCGCUAAGGAGUGUGUAACAACUCACCUGCCGAAUCAACUAGCCCUGAAAAUGGAUGGCGCUGA